rnacentral:rRNA from 1 species
CACCGCGGUUAUACGAGAGGCCCAAGUUGACAAAAGCCGGCGUAAAGAGUGGUUAAUAUAUAGUAUAAACUAAAGCCGAACACCUUCAAGGCCGUCAUACGUACCCGAAAGCAGGAAGACCUCCAACGAAAGUGGCUUUAACCAGAAUGAAACCACGAAAGCUAUGGCA